rnacentral:tRNA from 1 species
CGCGGGGUAUAUCAGUGGUAGAUGGCUGGGCUCACAACCCAGAGGUCGGCGGUUCAAAUCCGUCUCCCGCAACCA